GUGCCAAGCAGCCGCGGUAAUUCCAGCUCCAAAAGCGUAUAUUAAUGUUGUUGCAGUUAAAAAGCUCGUAGUCUAUCUUCUUGGAGUGCUGAGUGCCGGCCAAGCCGCGCUCAGCAGUCUAAUCUGCUCGAAAGCCUUGCUCGUCCUUCACUGGUCGACCUGGUGUCUCGGGCUCUUUACUGAGAAAAAAUUAGAGUGUUCAACGCAGGCAAUCGCAGAGAAUACACAAGCUUGGAAUAAUAGAAUAUGGCUAAAGUCUUUUUUGUUGGUUAUGAGGCUUUAGUAAUGGUUAAUAGGAACAGACGUGGGCUUUAGUAUUUAAUUGUCAGAGGUGAAGUUCUCGGAUUUAUUAAGGACUAACUAAUGCGAAAGCAUUUGCCAAGGAUGUUUUCAAUUGAUCAAGAACGAAAGUUAGGGGAUCAAAGACGAUCAGAUACCGUCCUAGUCUUGACUAUAAACGAUUCCGACUAAGGAUCGGAGAGGUAACUUCAGCCUCUUCGGCACUUUUUGAGAAAUCAAAGUCUUUGGGUUCCGGGGGAAGUAUGGACACAAGUCUGAAACUUAAAGGAAUUGACGGAAGGGCACACCAGGAGUGGAGCCUGCGGCUUAAUUUGACUCAACACGGGAAAACUUACCAGGUCAAGACAUGGGUGGGAUUGACAGAAAUGAGAGCUCUUUCUUGAUUCUAUGGAAGGUGGUGCCAUGGACGUUCUUAGUUGGUGGAGUGAUUUGUCUGGUUUAAUUUCCGUUAACGAACGAGACCUUAACCAGCUAAACUAGAAAGUGCUUUUUUUCAAGGGCAUAUUCUUCUAGAGGGAACUAUGUGUUCAAGCAACAUGGGAAGUUUGAGGCAAUAACAGGGUCUGUGAUGCCCAAAGGGCGAAUCCAGCACACUGUGGGCGGGCCGGGUUUACUUAGUUGGAUCCCGGAGCUCGGUACAAGCUGGCGUACAUC
rnacentral:rRNA from 1 species